UACGUAGGUGGCAAGCGUUAUCCGGAUUUACUGGGUGUAAAGGGCGUGUAGGCGGGAGAGCAAGUCAGACGUGAAAUUCCAGGGCUCAACCCUGGAACUGCGUUUGAAACUGUUCUUCUUGAGUGAUGGAGAGGCAGGCGGAAUUCCGUGUGUAGCGGCGAAAUGCGUAGAUAUACGGAGGAACACCAGUGGCGAAGGCGGCCUGCUGGACAUUAACUGACGCUGAGGCGCGAAAGCGUGGGGAGCAAACAGG
rnacentral:rRNA from 1 species